ensembl:snoRNA
AUGGUGAGAUAGUUCUGUAAAAAGUUAAGAAUAGAACUACCUAUAACACACCCAACAGGAAUCUGGGAUCAUUGUGAUGAGGGGCACAAAACUUGUGGCCUCCCUAUGAACAAAUUCCCUACAUGU